rnacentral:rRNA from 1 species
GAGUUUGAUCUUGGCUCAGAUUGAACGCUGGCGGCACGCCUAACACAUGCAAGUCGAGCGGUAGCAUGGGUAGUAGCAAUACUGCCUGAUGACGAGCGGCGGACGGGUGAGGAAAGCGCAGGAACCUGCCCUCGAGGCUGGGAUAACCAGGGGAAACCCUGGCUAAUACCGGAUGAACCCGGGAGGGGAAAGCUGCCCGCAAAGGGUGGCGCUCGAGGAGGGGCCUGCGUCCGAUUAGCUGGUUGGUGAGGUAACGGCUCACCAAGGCGAUGGUCGGUAACUGGUCUGAGAGGACGACCAGUCACACUGGGACUGAGACACGGCCCAGACUCUACGGGAGGCAGCAGUGGGGAAUAUUGGACAAUGGGGGCAACCCUGAUCCAGCGAUGCCGCGUGAGUGAAGAAGGCCUCGGGUCGUAAAAGCUCUUUAGGCCGGGAAGAAGGGAGAUGGAGGAAAUG